rnacentral:rRNA from 1 species
AUUGAACGCUGGCGGCAUGCCUUACACAUGCAAGUCGAACGGUAACGGGCCUUCGGGUGCCGACGAGUGGCGAACGGGUGAGUAAUGCAUCGGAACGUACCUUUCAGUGGGGGAUAACGUAGCGAAAGUUACGCUAAUACCGCAUAUUCUGUGAGCAGGAAAGCAGGGGAUCGCAAGACCUUGCGCUGAUUGAGCGGCCGAUGUCAGAUUAGCUAGUUGGUGAGGUAAAGGCUCACCAAGGCGACGAUCUGUAGCGGGUCUGAGAGGAUGAUCCGCCACACUGGAACUGAGACACGGUCCAGACUCCUACGGGAGGCAGCAGUGGGGAAUUUUGGACAAUGGGGGCAACCCUGAUCCAGCCAUGCCGCGUGAGUGAGGAAGGCC